UUAAUUAUUGAUGCAAUAUUAAGCCAUGGUUUUCUUUCAUAUGUUCAGGGGUCAGUCUUUAUAGUAGAUGUCCCCUAUUUUGCACUCAUGGCAAGAGCAAUUCCUGGUUUUGCUUUCAUCACUUAGGAGCAAAUACCUAAUGGUGACAAUGAGACCUGAAACAGUUUUUUUUUUUUUUUUUUUUAACUGGGCCUGUUACUUUUGGUGUUUCUGGUGCAAAUUUUUGCACUUCAGUUUUUAAUUUGUGUUUAAAUGAUGUAAAAGUUGGAAUAUUGAAUCUGAUGUCUUGAAUUCCUAUCCUACCAGUGGCUUCUUGUAGUAAUUUUUCCAUCUCCAUAGGUGCUGUGUCUGGUGGUACUUUAUUUUGCCACAAGUAGAACAUCUGACAAAGAAUUCUAGACAAGGAAGAAAUGAAUCCCUGUUAAAAUUGGAUCAUGAAAAGUAGAUAAGCCCUGAGUACUGUUGGAGUCUUCAGAGGGUACCAAGCAUGUCAUUGCGUGGUCUCUGAUGGGAGAAGAUCUGCUCUGUCUCCUUAAACAGGGUGUGACCUGCACCAUGUAGAUGGAUGCCUGACAAACAAAUGCACCUCUGGCACAGUCUGCACAUACAGGGGCUACUUUUGGCCAACUUCGUGAGCCAUUUAGUGUGUUUUGGAAGUACAGUAAGUGAGUGAACUAACCAGGUUCAUGGCCAUGUUAAGCACAUAAGGCUGUUUGGUCACAUGGGUAUACGAGGGAGUCAAAUUAUCUGCACUUGUUACAUUAAAACCUCAUUUGGCAGCACUGUCUUAUCAGCACUUUCGAUACGAGGUCCCUGUCUCCCCAGUCACUGCUGUGCAGGUGUGAACAUAUUACCGUUGGAUCAUUUGACUGCAGUGCAAGAUACAAUGGCUGCUCCACUUGUGAUUUGUGUGAAAGCAGUGUGCAGUGAUUAGUUUUUUUGUGGUCUGAGGUUGUGCCUGGUGGUGUUGACUUUGUGUACAGUAUGGAGAAGGUGUUUUGUCGCAAAGAAGUGUGUAUGAAUGGAUAGACGUUCAAGGAAGGUUGCACAAGUGUCAGCCAUGAAGAAGGACCUGGGUGCGCAUUUACAACUGCCAUUGAGUGCACAUGAAAUGAUUCUAGACAAAGGACAGUAGAGGUGGCAAAUCUGCCAUGGCUCUGCCUAUGCAGUAAUCCACGACAGACUUGGGUUUUGAAGGAAGCCCUAUGAGGACAGAUUCAUGUAUGAAGAGGUGAAGACAGUGGUGCUUUUGUUGCUUGCAACUCGGCUUUAAACUUUUUGGGGGGGGGGGGGGACAAAGUGUAUUGAAAAAGCAGGGAGAUUGUUGAAAAUUUUGUAUAGUAGUGUGAAUAAUUUUUGACUCGCCCUCAGAUUUGGGUCCAAGUAAUUUUUCUGUGGGGUUUUGAAUAGUACAGCACGGCACUCGUGUGCUACCGGUAGCUCUCGGUCCCUUUCCAAGUAGCUUGCCAAAGGGUUAAAGUUUGAAAACUUGAUUAGUCAAAUUAGGGGUGGGCAAUCUUUACAAAAAAUCCUAUCACUAUCCACAAUCUUUUCCCAAAUGUGGCAUACGCUGAAGAGAAUAUCCGGACUUGAACUCAAAGCCCAAGUAACACUUAUUUUAAAUCUGUUGAAUUGUUCACGUUUGCUAGCUAAGCUGAGUUGAGCACACCCCAAAACUGGUGAGUGAGGAAGGCUCCUCCCUUUUGGCCCGUUGCAUCGGUAUUGGAAUUGCGCAAAAAUAAAAAUAGUACUGUAGGCGAACUAUGAUACAUAGCCAAAUGAGAGAAGUCGCAAAAUCACCUGGAAUGUUCAAGCCAAUUUAAAUCUGUUAAGUAGAUCUCUAGUGAAAGUGGACAGGCAUACAGAGAAACGUUGGAUAUUAGUAAACCUUCAAAAUGCGCCGUUAACAUGUCAAUAGCAUUGCUGGAGCUUAGUAGAGCUAGAUAACGAUGAAUCUUCUCCAAGCAGCUGUUAAAAUGUCUGCUUUGUUUGGGUCUACAUACUGCUGAAUCUGCCUUUUCUGACACGUGUCAUGAAAUCAAAGGUCAAAAGAAGACUGACAGAUGAACAUUUUAUGUUCACUCUCUUAUGGAGUCAUUUAAGUGGCUACACUCCACCAUACACCUCUUGUUGAUUCCGUGCAGUGCCAAUUAUCUAACUAAAAAACCCAUCACACAUGCAACUGCACAAGUGAGCUCUUGUGAAGUGAAACCGUGACCUGUAACAAAAUGACAAAUGAAUAAGUAAUAUCUCUUGUAAUUGCAUUUUCUUUUUUGACGGCAUUAAUGAUUUAAUUCAAUAGUGUGAGAUACACUAGAAAAUGCAUACAAAUGUACAAAGUGCACUUACAGGUGAAGUAAAGAGUUGUGUACACCAACAUUUUGUAAAUAUUAAGGCAAAACAAGCUUUUUCAGUUUGAAUGGGUUGAAAUAAGCAAUGAGAGUAAACGUUAGAAAACGUAUAUUGUGACCAUUUUGUAAAAGUAGCUCUUUGAGGGGGAAAGUUGGAGACACCUGGUAUAGACAAUUGGCAGCAAUAUAAGCCUUAGACCUUUUCCACUGUUCAAAAUAGCGAAAGGUAGUAGAAUACUGUAGUAUACAUCCAAGGCCUAAUUUUUUUUUUUUUUUUUUUUUUUUUUAACUAAUUUGCUUACAAACGCGCACAGAAUUGUGGUCUAAUUUUUCUUGCUGCCAUUGUUCCCUGUAUCUAAUUGUUCUACUUUCCCAAUUAAAAUUGUUCCCUCUAAUGUG